rnacentral:rRNA from 1 species
CUGAACCUUCGGGGAACGAUAACGGCGUCGAGCGGCGGACGGGUGAGUAAUGCCUGGGAAAUUGCCCUGAUGUGGGGGAUAACCAUUGGAAACGAUGGCUAAUACCGCAUAAUAGCUUCGGCUCAAAGAGGGGGACCUUCGGGCCUCUCGCGUCAGGAUAUGCCCAGGUGGGAUUAGCUAGUUGGUGAGGUAAUGGCUCACCAAGGCGACGAUCCCUAGCUGGUCUGAGAGGAUGAUCAGCCACACUGGAACUGAGACACGGUCCAGACUCCUACGGGAGGCAGCAGUGGGGAAUAUUGCACAAUGGGCGCAAGCCUGAUGCAGCCAUGCCGCGUGUAUGAAGAAGGCCUUCGGGUUGUAAAGUACUUUCAGCAGUGAGGAA